UACAGAGGGUGCAAGCGUUGUUCGGAAUUAUUGGGCGUAAAGGGUGCGUAGGCGGUGCGGUAAGUCUUUUGUGCAAUCUCCGGGCUCAACUCGGAGCCUGCAAGGGAAACUGCCGUGCUUGAGUGUGGGAGAGGUGAGUGGAAUUCCCGGUGUAGCGGUGAAAUGCGUAGAUAUCAGUCGGAACACCGGUGGCGAAGGCGGCUUCUUG
rnacentral:rRNA from 1 species